GUGAACGCUGGCGGUAGGCCUAACACAUGCAAGUCGAACGGCAGCACAGUAAGAGCUUGCUCUUACGGGUGGCGAGUGGCGGACGGGUGAGGAAUACAUCGGAAUCUACUUUUUCGUGGGGGAUAACGUAGGGAAACUUACGCUAAUACCGCAUACGACCUACGGGUGAAAGCAGGGGAUCUUCGGACCUUGCGCGAUUGAAUGAGCCGAUGUCGGAUUAGCUAGUUGGCGGGGUAAAGGCCCACCAAGGCGACGAUCCGUAGCUGGUCUGAGAGGAUGAUCAGCCACACUGGAGCUGAGACACGGUCCAGACUCCUACGGGAGGCAGCAGUGGGGAAUAUUGGACAAUGGGCGCAAGCCUGAUCCAGCCAUGCCGCGUGGGUGAAGAAGGCCUUCGGGUUGUAAAGCCCUUUUGUUGGGAAAGAAAAGCAGCAGGUUAAUACCCCGCUGUUCUGACGGUACCCAAAGAAUAAGCACCGGCUAACUUCGUG
rnacentral:rRNA from 1 species